rnacentral:rRNA from 1 species
GACGAACGCUGGCGGCGUGCCUAAUACAUGCAAGUCGAGCGCAGGAAACCGUCUGAACCCUUCGGGGGGACGACGGCGGAAUGAGCGGCGGACGGGUGAGUAACACGUAAAGAGCCUGCCCACGGGUCUGGGAUAACCACGAGAAAUCGGGGCUAAUACCGGACGGGUCAUCGGACCGCAUGGUCCGAGGAUGAAAGGCGCUCCGGCGUCGCCCGUGGAUGGCUUUGCGGUGCAUUAGCUAGUUGGUGGGGUAACGGCCCACCAAGGCGACGAUGCAUAGCCGACCUGGGAGGGUGGUCGGCCACACUGGGACUGAAACACGGCCCAGACUCCGACGGGGGGCAGCAGUAGGGAAUCUUCCACAAUGGACGAAAGUCUGAUGGAGCAACGCCGCGUGAACGAUGAAGGCCCUCGGGUCGUAAAGUUCUGUUGUAAGGGAAGAACAAGUGCCGCAGGCAAUGGCGGCACCUUGACGGUACCUUGCGAGAAAGCCACGGCUAACUACGUGCCAGCAGCCGCCGUAA